rnacentral:rRNA from 1 species
UGCCAGCAGCCGCGGUAAUACGGAGGGGGUUAGCGUUGUUCGGAAUUACUGGGCGUAAAGCGCACGUAGGCGGAUUAGUAAGUUAGGGGUGAAAUCCCGGGGCUCAACCCCGGAACUGCCUCUAAUACUGCUAGUCUUGAGUUCGAGAGAGGUGAGUGGAAUUCCGAGUGUAGAGGUGAAAUUCGUAGAUAUUAGGAAGAACAUCAGUGGCGAAGGCGACUCACUGGUCCGAUACUGACGCUGAGGUGCGAAAGCGUGGGGAGCGAAAGGGAUUAGAUA